ACGGAAGGCAGCAGUGGGGAAUAUUGCACAAUGGGGGAAACCCUGAUGCAGCGACGCCGCGUGAAGGAAGAAGUAUCUCGGUGUGUAAACUUCUAUCAGCAGGGAAGAAAAUGACGGUACCUGACUAAGAAGCCCCGGCUAACUACGUGCCAGCAGCCGCGGUAAUACGUAGGGGGCAAGCGUUAUCCGGAUUUACUGGGUGUAAAGGGAGCGUAGACGGAAUUGCAAGUCUGAUGUGAAAGGCAUGGGCUCAACCUGUGGACUGCAUUGGAAACUGUGAUUCUUGAGUGCCGGAGGGGUAAGCGGAAUUCCUGGUGUAGCGGUGAAAUGCGUAGAUAUCAGGAGGAACACCGGUGGCGAAGGCGGCUUACUGGACGGCAACUGACGUUGAGGCUCGAAGGCGUGGGGAGCAAACAGGAUUAGAUACCCUGGUA
rnacentral:rRNA from 1 species